CAGCCGCGUAAUUCCAGCUCCAAUAGCGUAUAUUAAAGUUGUUGCAGUUAAAAAGCUCGUAGUUGAAUUUCGGGAUCAAUUUAUUGGUCGUGCUAUUGUACGUACUGGUAUUAUUGAUUCCUACCUUCUGACGAACCAUGAUGUCAUUAAUUUGGUGUCAUGGGGAAUCAGGACUGUUACUUUGAAAAAAUUAGAGUGUUUAAAGCAGGCUCACGCUUGAAUACAUUAGCAUGGAAUAACGAAAUAGGACGUUUGAUUCUAUUUUGUUGGUUUCUAGGAUCGACGUAAUGAUUAAUAGGGAUAGUUGGGGGCAUUAGUAUUCAAUUGUCAGAGGUGAAAUUCUUGGAUUUAUUGAAGACUAACUACUGCGAAAGCAUUUGCCAAGGAUGUUUUCAUUAAUCAAGAACGAAAGUUAGGGGAUCGAAGACGAUCAGAUACCGUCGUAGUCUUAACCAUAAACUAUGCCGACUAGGGAUCGGAUGAUGUUAAUUUUUUAAUGACUCAUUCGGCGCCUUACG
rnacentral:misc_RNA from 1 species